AUGCCCAUAUACACAGUUCCUACUAGAAAUCACACGGAUGUGCUUGGUGUUUCUUCUUUCCAAAAAAAUACUCCACAAAAUACCUUUCCUAAAAGCAACAGGUUUGGACAGCAGCUUAAAUCACAGGGACCAGAAAAUGAAAAAGAUAAUUCACUCUCUCUCUCUCUGACUAAGACCAAAGAAAUAAAUAGGACCUAUGUGAUUUCUGCCUGUAAAAAUGCAGGUGAUUCUUCAGUUACAUUUAAACCUGAAGGUAGGUUAACUCUCCAGAGAAGAACUGGAGCAAGCAAAAUAUCCACUUCUAUUGAUAAACAGUUGGAGGAGAACACAGCACAAGAUGUUGAAAAUACCCAAACAGAUGGAAGACUUACCCUGCAGCGAUGUAUGGGGACUGGAUCAAUAGAGAAACAUAAAACCAGUAAGAACAGUGAACCUGAGAUAGAAAAUAGUGAUUCUGUUGUUGCACAGACAAACACCAAAAAUGUAUUUCCACCAGGCAUUAGUACUAACAACACCCAUUACGUUAAAUCUAGUACUCAGUUAGUUGAAGGUCAGAUGAAUGGAAAGAGAUGCUUUGAUCUGAAAAAUAAAGAUUCCCUUGCUAAUUUUAAUGGUUCAAGUGGAAAUGAGAAUAGUAAAUGUUUGAAAUACAGGACAACUAUUGCUGAUGCCAAAAUUCACAAUGAUGUUCCUAGAUCAGCACAUUUAAUAGCAACAAAACUUGUUAACAGGACCCCAGGGGUAAAGCUGAAUGAAAAAGAUAAUUUUAAUGAACUGACUGGAAAGGAAAGGAUACGAAAUUCAGUUGCUAAAUAUGGCAGUUUGGAAAGACAAAGAACACCUAGGAAAGGUGGUACAACAGAAGGAAUAAAGGCUACACCAAUGCGUGGCACUCUUCAGUAUGCCAAAAGUCCAGCUACAUCUACUCUUAAGAACAGGACUCCUUGUCUUCAAGUUGCACAGAAAAAGAACACCAAUGCAUCCAACUCUUUGUCCAUAAGUAGAAGUGCCAGGGCAGAAGGAAGUCAAAUAUUUAUGCAACCUGCUGCACUUAAAGUAGAAACUGUAGCUCAGAACGCUUUCACGGACGAAAAUCCUCUCAAAGUAGAAAACAGUAAAGUGACUGUGGCUGUGCGAGUAAGGCCCUUCAGUGACAGAGAGAGAAAAGAAAAAGCAUCCCAAGUGGUCUCCAUGAGUGGCCAGGAGACAGUUGUGCGACAUCCAGAAACAAAACAAAUGUAUGACUUCAUUUAUGACUUUUCAUUCUGGUCUUUUGACCACUGUCAUCCUAACUUUGCCAGCCAGAAGACGAUAUAUAAGGCUUUGGCAGUACCGCUCCUAGAAAGAGCCUUUGAGGGAUACAAUACCUGUCUUUUUGCUUAUGGACAGACUGGUUCUGGAAAAUCAUAUACGAUGAUGGGAUUUGGUGAAGAACUAGGAAUAAUUCCAAGAUUUUGUGAAGAUCUUUUUACUCAAAUAGCACAAAUGGACACACAACAGAUUUUGUACCAUCUUGAAAUGAGCUAUUUUGAAGUCUACAAUGAGAAAAUUCAUGAUUUGCUCAUCUUUAAAGCUGAAAAUGGACAGAAGAAACAACCUCUCCGUGUUAGAGAACAUCCAGUAUUGGGGCCAUAUGUGGAAGACUUGACAGCGAACAUGGUCAGUUCUUAUUCUGAUAUCAAGAGUUGGCUCGAGCUAGGAAAUAAACAGAGAGCAACUGCUGCCACAGGCAUGAAUGACAAGAGCUCUAGAUCUCAUUCUGUCUUCUCCCUUGUGAUGACACAGACAAAGACAGAAUUUGUGGAAGGAGAAGAGCAUGAUCAUAGGAUUACCAGUCGCAUAAAUCUAAUAGAUCUAGCAGGCAGUGAACGCUGCUCUCCAACUCAGACCAGUGAAGAGAGGCUGAAGGAGGGUGUGAGUAUUAAUAAAUCACUGCUGACUCUGGGGAAAGUUAUUUCUGCGCUUUCUGAGCAAUCUCAGAACAGAAAGAGAGCUUUCAUUCCUUAUCGGGAAUCUGUCCUUACGUGGUUAUUAAAGGAAAGCCUUGGUGGAAAUUCAAAAACGACCAUGAUUGCCACAAUAAGUCCUGCUGCCAGCAAUGUAGAGGAAACCCUUAGCACUCUGAGAUAUGCUAAACAAGCUCGUUUGAUAAUCAACACUGCCAAAGUAAAUGAAAAUGUGAAUGCUAAAUUAAUUAGAGAACUGAAAGCAGAAAUUGAGAAACUGAAAGCAGCUCGCAAAAGUACUCUAAAUACAGAUCCUGAGAAAUAUAGACAGUAUCUGCAAGAAAUAACAUCUCUAAGGGUAAAACUCCACCAACAGGAGAGGGAUAUGGCAGAGAUGCAAAGGUCGUGGAAAGAAAAAUUUGAACAAGCAGAACAAAGGAAAUUUGAAGAAACAAAGGAGUUACAGAAAGCAGGAAUUACAUUCAAGAUGGACAAUCGUUUGCCAAACCUUGUCAAUCUCAAUGAAGAUCCCCAGCUCUCUGAGAUGCUUCUGUAUAUGAUAAAAGAAGGACAAACUACAGUUGGAAAGUACAAACCAAAUUCUCAUCAUGAUAUCCAGCUCUCUGGGGUGCUAAUUGCUGAUGAUCACUGUGUUAUCAAAAAUGUUGAUGGUAGAGUGAGUAUUACGCCACUGGGAGAAGCGAAGACGUAUGUUAAUGGGAAACACAUUUCAGAGCUAACAGUUAUGCGUCACGGUGAUCGUUUGAUUCUCGGAGGAGACCAUUAUUUCAGGUUUAAUCAUCCAGUAGAGGUUCAGAAAGUAAAAAGUGGGACUACCCUUUCAUGUGAUGGGCCAAAAGAUUUCGAAUUUGCAAAAAAUGAACUGUUGGUUGCACAGAGGUCACAACUUGAAUCAGAAAUUCAAGAGGCACGACUGAAAGCCAAGGAAGAAAUGAUGCAAGGUAUACAGGUUGCAAAAGAGAUGGCUCAGCAAGAACUUAUAUCUCAAAAAAAAGUAUAUGAAAGCAAGAUAAAAUCACUAGAAGCAGAACUGAGAGAAGAAUCUCAUAAGAAAAAAAUUCAGGAAAUGAAUAACCAGCAGACUGCUAACCAAAUACAGGAACUGGAAAAAGCAAAGCAACAUCUUGAGUUGGAAGUACAUUUCAGCAAGAAGCGUCUGGAAAUGGAGACAUUCGCCACCAGACAGGCUUUAGAAGAUCAUACUAUUCGUCAUGCAAAGAUUCUUGAAGCUCUGGAGGCUGAGAAGCAGAAAAUUGCUAAAGAGAUAGAAACUCUCCAGCAGAAUCAUGGAAAUGGGAAUAAAACGACAACUAUUAAGCCUAACUGGAAUUCUAUGAAACUCUCUCUGAUGAUCCAGGAGGCCAAUACUAUUAGUAGCAAAUUAGGAAAGCACACAGUCUUCUGCAGACAUGAUGUAUCAGAACAAGGAAAUGGCAUUGGACCUUCUGUUAAAGUGCUGGUUCGUAACCUCAAGCUGGAAAUUGCAACUUUCUGGAGCCUGGAGAAGUUUGAAUAUAAGCUAGCAGCAAUGAAAGAACUCUAUGAGAGUAAUGGUAGUAACAAAGCUGAUGUAUUUUAUGAUCCUGCUGAUGAGUGGGAACCUGACCUUACAACUACAUCCGUUUCUUCCUUUUCCAGAAGGAGGAGCAGAAGUCUCAUGAAGAACAGGAGAAUUUCUGGAUGUUUGUCUGACAUAAAAUUGCAGCCAAUCCAGGAUCUACACAUGUCACACUUAUCAGGUUCAGUCAAUAAAUCCAGCAGCAUAUGUUCAAGUUCUUCUGAAUCAUUUCUACCUGGAAUUUGCAAAGAAUUAAUUGGUUCAGCUUUGGAUUUACUAGGACAGAAUCAUGAAGAAGAAAAGAGUAUAGCAGAUAGUCUCCUAACUAAUUUGCUUACUAUUUAUACUGGAGUAACUGCCAUUUCAAAUGCUUAUGAACAACAAGAUGAAGAAAGUCAAGAGAAUUUUUUCUCUCUUGAUCAUGCUACUCAGUCCUGCAGCAUAAGAAUUACCUCUGCCUUUGAACAACUUGUGGUUCUAACCAAGCAUUGGCUUAAUAGUUUCCAGAAGUGCACUGAUUCCCUAAAAAUUGAUGAAGAAUUGAGACAGGGUGUAACAAACUUGGGAGGUUAUUUACAAUUACUAUUGCAGGGUUGUUGUUCAGAUAUAUCCUCAAUGGUAACAGAAGCACACAACAAAAUAAUCCAAAUAGUGAAACAAGCAGGUAAACAUGUAGGACACUUGACAGCACUUAUAGGAUCUGACCUACACCUUUCUGAAGACACCAAAGAAGAUGCAACUAUUUCACAGGAAGAUUUUAUACUUGCCAUUUAUGAUGGAGUAGGCUCAGGACUGAAGAGUCUCUUGGAUUCUGUACAGAAAAAAACAAGAGAGAUGCAGAAAGAACUUUUGAAACAGUAUCAACAAAAUGAGAUUCAAAAUCAAAUAAAAAAUAAUGCAGUGGCUUUUGCCAGAUCCCUUGAAAAUACAAUAUCUGACUUCAAAAAGAGAGAAAUGGGAACUCAAUUAACAAAAGGAGAAUCUGCCCACCAGGAACUAAAGAAGGCAACUAAUCUUGCUUCUGAAUACUUCGAAUUAGAGCAGUGCAUAGAUAAAGUCUGUUGGAUCAUUACUACUUCAUUACAAGAUGGAAUGACCUAACCAUACAUUAAGUGGUGAGGGCUGUUGUCCGGCUUGUAGGAAAAGAACCCCCCUUAAAGGCUAGAUGGCCAGAGACUGUCUUGCUGAAGUGACUUCAGACCAGGUGAGUGUGGGGAUGCUGACGCAUCUUCCUCCCGGAAGAGAGCGGAGACUAUUUAGGUUCACACUGGCGCUAGAAAAGCCCUCUUUUACCUGGACCAGGCAGAGCAGCACCCACCUCCUGCUCAUGGGUGUAGUUAAAUACCAGAUUUUGUCAUGAUCUGCUGGUUGUUACCCUACUUGCUCCUUUCUCAAGGGGCUGGGAAGGACUUUUCCCAUCACUGACAGACUGGCCAAGAUGAAGUGGGGUUUUCUGCCUUCCCCACAAUGGGUUGGAGGCUUAGUUGGGGCGGACAUGAAACGGGGUUUAGGCUGUGAGUCUCAAACUCUAUGUAAAUGUGAGGCAGUUGUUCAAUGCAGGUACACUGUAGGAAAGGGAUACGUGAUCAGAUAAAAUGGAUUGGUAAAGGAUUUAAAGACUAUUCUUUAAGGUAAUGGAAAUGGGGGGGGGUGUUGGAGCUACUAUAACUGGUUUGGCAGUAAAAGCCCCCUUAACCAUCAUUCAAGGGUGGGGGUGAGGUCCCAGCAGUGGGUGUGCUGGGCAUGAGAAUCGGUAAAGGGCAGCAGUCUCCCCAUUCUUGCUUUAUGUACAUGAUUAUGAAAUUACUUGUGCUGUUUUUUUUUUCUGCUGGGUACUCCGACAUUUAGGAAUAAGGUUGCGGCCUAAUUAAACCACAUCUAGUGUCUCUGGUCCUUCCUUCCAGAACUUUGUGUCCCUCAGUCAGCAUCAGACUGUCUCCCUUUCUCCAGAACAGGGUGGGAGUGGGAAUCAGACAAAUUAAAAAAAAGUGUAGCAUUUUUCAUCUGUAGAUCUCUAAGUGCUAUACAAAGAUGUGUAAAUAUCUCCAUUUUGUAAAUGGAGACACUGAGACAGAGAGAUUAACUGACUUGCGCACAGUUACAUACUGAAUCAAUGGAAGAAUUGGGAUUAGAAUCCAGGUCUAAUGACAUCUUUAUGAACAGCCCCUGCUACAGGCACAGGUUCUUUAGUUCACUUUCACUCUACAACAUCUUCUGAUCUUCACUAGGACAAUGCUUAUGUUGUAUGCUCAUAAGGCUGGUCUAUAUGUGGGUUUUGUACCAAUUUAACAAUAUCCAUUUAGAAACUGAUACAAGUUAAACUAUUGCAAUCCCCCUAGUUUAGACACGAUUACAUUGGUACAAAGGUGCUUAAAUCAGUAUAGCUUAUUUCCAGAAUCUGUGUAUAGAACAGCCCUUAGAUACUAUGGUGAUAGGUGAAGUAGAAAUUAUUAUAUGUAUUACCAUACUGCCUAUGAAUCCUUCACAUAGAUUAGCCCUGCAGUUUAGUUGGAGAGUGGUCUAGCAGUAAGAAUAGAAUUGGUCCUGGAAUUCUGCUAUUACAGUACCAGGAACCCCAACAUACACUAUUGUGAACUUCCUCUUUUUGAUGGCCCUUUUUUCACUGUAUCUGAGACUAGACUUUAUUCCAUACUAUUAGCUUUCAGCAAUGGUCCAGGAAAGAUGAGACUUCAGUGAGAUAUAAAAUACAUAAAACACAUUUAUGACACAUUGCAGUGGCAAUGCUGUGGUGGUAGAUUUUGAUGUCCAGAGAAUAAAGAUAGUUCUGUGCUACGUGAUAUAGGCAACCAAUGCUGGGUCCUCAAGGAGCAUCUUCGUGUCCACAGGAGCCAUCUACAUCCAGAAGUCUAGACAUCAAUGAUCCACUUUUCUCAAAUGCGCGCACACAUAUGCAAAACAUCUCUUUAGAAUACUUUUCUUCUUCCUUCUAAUUUCUCUGCAGUCAGAUAACUCAGGCUUUCAGAGAGAAAAAUCCUCUGGCCUUUUAAUAUUCAGAAAGAAAUCCUUAAACAUUUUAUAUUGUUCUCAUUAAAGUAAAAUGUAUUAGCAGACAAUGAAAGUUCACAGCAUUGGAUAAAUAUUAAAUAAUAAAAUAGUUGCUUGGGGGGGACAGGAUCUUGUAGAUGCACUAAAUAACAAAGGAAGUUGGUUAGGACAUCAGGGAAUAAUGUGAUUUUUUUUUCCUCUCGUGUUUAGGCUUCUGGAUAUGAAACUUAUGUAAUACCAGUAUGCUGGUAGUUGGUACUGUCGCACAAUAAUGACCCUACAUAUGGAUAACAGAAAUUCCCUGUUGUGGGAGGGUCUGCAUUUUCUUAUAUCUGUUGUGGGGAAGGACUCAGUUGCAAGGAAUAUUCAAUGGGAACUUAACAAUUCUUUUGAUGAUGCAUGAGUCAGAUAAGAAUCCAUUGCUUUCCCAUAGCUGCAUUGGCUCUGCAGUCACAGCAGGAAUAAGAAGUAGUAAAACUUAUUUUUGCCACUAAAAAUGCAAGAUAGACUGAAUACGCACAGGGAGCUGACGUGUUGAGUAAAAGUGCCAUUUUUAUAGUCACUUUUCUGUUCAUAACAGCACUUGAACAGGUCUGCGUUUCUGUAAAUCAAAAUGUAUCAACAUUUCCCUUGGGAGCAUAGUGCUGUUCUUUUUAUAGCCAAAAAUGAGGUCAAUAAAAGCCAUAUUCAUACCACAUAGUAGUUUAUGACUGAGUUAUUAGACCCUUGUUAGAUUCAUCCAAUCCUGGAAUGCAAUGGAUCCCCAGUGGCAUUAUGUUUCUUUGUAAAUAAAAAGUAAAAAGCAUAUAUUCCUGUGUGUGUGUGUGUGUGUGUGCACACAUUUCUACAUCGGAUCUCCUUUCUAUUAUUUCUAUAUUUCCAAAUGUCAGUGUUCACAGCAUAUUGUUGUACCCUAUAUUCCCAAGAAGCAAAUAUCUAGGUUCGCAUUAUCUGUUGUUUUUAGUCUGUGGUUCAUCUGCUGGAAGCAAUAUUCUUUGAGUUUUUCAUAUUUUUUAUAUCAUAAAUGUACAAGAAUUCCUAUUUUAGCCAAAAAGCAAGAUCAGCUCUUACAUUUGGGUCAGGAGGAGGUGUCCUUAAGUGUGCUAAGGAAUGUCACAUGCCAUAGCGACAGCUCUGUUAACACAAUUCCUUCAAUCUGAGGAUAUUUUUAUUAAUUAUUUAAAUUGCAUUAGUGCCCACCAUGUGCUAUGUAUUUUCCAAAUACAGAGGAAGGUAUCAUCUCUGUCACAGAGUGCCCAAAUUUAAAAAAAUGGGAAAGUGGUGUUAGAGCAGAGUUGAAACUCCUUGGCUUUUCUUCCCAGAUCUGCUUCUGAUAUGAUUUUAUUCCUAGAAAUACCAGCCUCAGGAAUGAUGAUAACCUGAAUCGCACCAGCUACCAGUUUGGAGUGCUUCACAGAAGGAAGAGGAAGAUGUAACCUCGGUUGCUGUUCCCAAAACUGGCCUUCUAACCAGACCAUAGAGGUACAGUAAGUCAUGGCAGAAGUGGAUUUUAACAGGGUAAACUUGAGACAGAUGGAGAUGGCCUGCAAAGAUGCCAGAUGGGAGAAGCAGAGCUGCCAUCCAUACCCCGGAGACAGACACUAAAGGGAGGAAGACAGCAUAUUGUCUAGGUCCCCCCACGACACAUGGAUGAGCCAACAGGCCAUAGAGCUGAGAGCAUGACAAAAAGUAAGGCAGUGCCAAUGCUUUUUGUGGUGAUGGUUGUGCUACCUGACAAGUCUUCAACAGGACACACAAGUGCCUGCAAAUAUUACACUGUGUACUUGAGUAGAUUCCAAACUCUGAAAUUUGGGGGUUCUCCUUGCUACCAUGUAAUGUGUAUCUUCACAAUGCAGAGGUAUGUACUGUGUGCUUCUGAUACAUUUUUUGCCACUAUUAUUGUUGUGAUAAAUCGACAUUACAUAUUGAGAUGACAUCGCGUAUUGCAUGUUGGAUCUAAUGGAAUUUUGGCCUGGUAGGAGAGAUGAUUUAAGAUUAGCCUGAAAACUGGGCCAGUUCUGAGGUCCUGAUAAUUUGAGACAUUUGUAUUAAUAAAAUUCACCAGGAUGCAUAAACAACUCUCCAGUGCCUGGCUCUUAUGUGGAGUAUUGUUCCUGUGUAAAUGGUACAAAUGUUGCUGACCAUGAUCUGUGCUAUUUUACAGUAAUUAUUUCACCAUCUUCAAUUUGCUGAUGUAUCAGUACAUGCUGUAUACAGUGCUAGUGUUGAUGCUAUGUAAAUAAUAGGAAUUAUCAGCUAAAGCAUGUGUUGAAGUUCUAUAAAUUGCAGGAAUAUUGGAAAGUACCCAUGCAAUUCUGUGGAAACCAUGGCAAUCCUCCAAAUACUGCCACAGAACUCUAGCACCAUUACAACAUAUGUACUCGUUUACUCAAAUAAGGAAUGAUAGCUGAAAAAAGGAGGGCAUGGUAAGUUACAGACAUUAUAGAUGGGGGAGAUUUUUAAAAGUAGCAAAGAUAUUUAGGACCACAAGUCACAUCAAAAGUUAACGGGACUUGUACUUCAAAAUCCCUUUUGUGUUUUUGGAAAAUCUCCCUCUGUUUUAAACAUGACACUUCAGAGUUAUUCAUAAAGUGCAUUUAAUCCUUCCACGUGUGGUCUCAAGCAUCCAGGCUUCUGCAUAAGUGCUUUUCUUGAUACUCUGCAUCAAGCUUGUCAACACAGGGCUGAAAUCUGCUCCAUGCAGCACAGCAGCAGAGGGCAUAGGGGCUCUGAGUUUAUAACAGUCUCUAUUCCUUACUCUGAGUUCUGAGCCCAUGUCUGACUCUUAUUACAGUUCAUGGAAGUCUUUACCUUAUUUUCCUUGAACUACAUGUAGACAACUUAUGUGCGCAUUGCAUCAGUGUAUGGCCCAAUGGUUGCAAGAUAGAAAUACGUUUACAAUAAUUUUCUUUUGGGUCUCUGAUUUAUAACAUGAGAACAUCAUUAAGGUCCUGAUGCUGCAAUUGGCCUGGCGUGGGCGGACCCAGGGUCAGCAUAGGAAGGGCCUAAAUUACAUUAAUGAUGGGGAAAUUAAGGAGCAAGCCAACAAAAGAUGGGUGCAUGAAUGGUACUUAAAGUGAACAAGUGUGCUGUAAUUGGGUCCUGAGUAAACAUCAGGCGGUUAGUUCAAAACCUGCUUACGUAUCAGUGUUGAGCCUAGUAUGUGUAUGGUCACUGAGGAUGGGUGUCCUUUUAAAUCCUUGAACGUAAUUCCCAUUCAUAUCAGCGUUAACGUUAAUGGGAAGUACACGCACAUGUUAAGGAGAAAACAGACCCACCAUUAUCUAACACAUUCAGUUAUGACUUGGUUGAUAUUGUUUGGUAGGUAAUUCUGUGUAUUUCGUGGCAUAAUUUUCAUAGCAAGAUUCUAGUGUGUUAAUGUUUUACAUAGUUCUAGGACGGUGGGUUUUUUCAAUGGCACUGUCAAAGCUUAACUAUCGCAUUUGCUACACUAAAGUUUAGAUUGCAUUUCAAUAGCAAUAAACAGAUGGGAAUUUUGGUUGUCUAAAAUGAGUAUCUGUAGAAUGGGUUACAACAGACGGAAGAGGUAGAAUGUGAUCCUUUCAUUUAGAAUGAUACAAAACAUUUUAGUAAGUGAAAUUUUAACAGAAAAUAAGAUAUCCAGAAAGAAAAGCCUGUGGCUCUUUUAACUGUUUUUUAUUAUUUUUACAUUCCCAACUAAUUUUAAUAAAGUAAACAACAUGCUGUCCCUCUGACAUUUUCCUCAGAUGAACAAUUUUUCAAGAGGAUUACAGGGCUGAAUAGUCCGUUUUUGAGAGGUGGAGAAUGGUUUAGUUGGUGGGCCUGCUGUGAUUGGAAUUGAUUAAUGGGUGUUGUGAUAAGCAUGGAAACAGAUCAGUGGCAGCUUAUCCUGCUUUCAGCUGUCACAGCUGUGCCUCUUCACUCUUCUUCUAGGCCUGUAACACUCCCUGGCAGCCUUUAAAGUACCUCCUUCCCUGUGGAAUUUCUGCAAAUCAUUUACUCAGAUGCCAAGAUACCACAGAAGCAGCUGGUUCUGAGAAAAAUUUGUUCAGGCUUACAUAUUUGUUGUGGAUAAGAAUAUUACUUAGGAGAAUCUCUUCCUAUAGAAAUAGAAAACAUGAAGUGUCAUACCCUUCAGAGCAGGUCAAACUAUAUUUCUAGUGGGCUGAUGCACCUCUAGUCCAAAAAUUUUCAACCUUGCCACACUGUGAGUUUACUAGCAAGUUGACUAAAUAAUGUCACUGUUCCUGCUUGAAAGGCACUGUAAAAAAAAUCACUGAAAGUUAAUUUUAUUGUUAAUGGCUUGAUAGAAAUAACAUUACCAUCUUAUUAAAUCCUUCUAGCUACCAUUUCUGAAGCAAUGUUCAGUAAGUAUUGUAACUUCAUAACUUGACAUUUUGAAUGUAGUGGGACAAUAUUUGCUUGAUUUAUUUGUUGUGAACUUUGGCCAGUAAAACCAUCAUAUAAAUUCCGGUAGAUGGCUAAGUUUAUUGUGGUGUAAGAAAAAGGCAGAAUUAGGUGAGUGAGAGCUACAAAUCAGGGUAAGGACCUGAAUAUGCCAAUAUGCAGAUGCUUAUCUUUACUCAUGUGAGUAGUCCCAUUGACUUCACUGGAACUACUUAGGUGACUAAAGCAUGCAUAAGUGUUUGCAGGAAUGGAGCCUAAGCGUCUCAGUGAGCCUUUCUUAUUGGCCUUAUCCCCAAAAAGGGUUGAGGAGCAUGAAUAAAAUAUGUAACUGAAUAAGCAUCAAAUAUGAGAGUAAUCGUAGCAUUGUUCUGUAUUCGUUACACUUCAGCCUUAUUAGUAUUUAGAUAGUAAAUAAUAAAUAGUUUGCAGAUGAAAUACUUGGGAGUGAUGCAAUAAUUUGAUUUAAUAUUUUAAAUUGCUGAGCUCUUGUGAUCCUUUCCUUGUGGAUUCAAAUUUACCAAGAAACGCACACUUUUUAAAAAGAAAUGCUUUUGCAUAAAUCUGGGUAGGUUAAAAUUUGAUUUAAAAGCAAAUGAUGCAAAAUAAAAAGGCACUAAUUUUUGAAUGAAUGGAUUUUGAUAUCCAGUCUGUAAAUAAUUUAUCUACUCAGUUUGGGAUAGUCAUGUACAUGAGUAUAUAUAAGGGACUUCUUGCAAAUCUAUUUAUUUAAGAGAUAUUUGGUAAUUUUCCAUUGCAUGUGCAUGUUCUGGUUGUACUUGGAUUGGUUGUCUUUAAAUGACCAACACACAUUUAGUGGAAAACUAUUUCUCCAACAAACAGAUACAUUUUAACUUUUUCAUUUAAAAAAAAUUACUGAGGGGAAAAUAUUUAAGGGUCUUUUGUUUUAAAUUCAUACUAUUUAUUUAUUCUGCAAUUUUACCGUGUGUUAGCUAUAUCUUGUAAUGCCUUGUGUCAUACAAAAGCAAACAGUCAUGUUACAUUAAUGACUUGUCUGAGAUCAUAUGACUGACUGGCUAUAAUUCCAUGCCCCUUUGCUAUAAAAAAACAUGACCCUGAAUCUUAAACAGCUUUUGAAUAAAAGCACCUAAAAUUAUGAUAUGGUAACAAAGUUCACAGUAUUUAUAAAUUUGCUAUUUCAGUUAUUUUCAUUUACUGGUUUGUCCUUUGAUUUUUACUUGAUAUUUUUAAUUCAUGGUUAAAGUCACACACACUUUUUUUUUUUUCGGAGUUUACACAUGAUUAAAAUAGCAGACAGGAUUAUUUUUCCUAGCUUAAAUAUCAACAGCAGCAAAAACUUAUUUUACUGUGAAAGGAAUUAAAUAUUUGUAAAGAAUUGCUUAAUUUGUUAGGUACUAAAUUUCAGGUCCAUUCAGGAACACCUUGUUUGCAUGACAACCUAGUGUUGCUAAAGAAUGUGUUAAAUGAAGAUUUUAGUUAAAAUGUGACACAAGUGAUAGAGUGAAUUUGAUCAAAUAUUAUUCACAUGAAAUGUGAAUGUGUGGUUUUCUACAUUUUGAUCCCUUCAUCGGGGGCAGGUUCUUUAUGGCUUCAGCAUGCACUUUUGUCCUUCCUGUGAUUUCUUAUUUCAGGCUUGAUAGAGAAAGCCUCCGCUGUUGUAUCAUUUCCUUCAGUGCUAACAGCUUUUAUUCUCUUCAACAAGUGUUUACAGAAAAGUGUUGAUGCUUAUUAAUCUGUUUCUUGUCUUACAAAUGUGCUUAUGCGUGAUUUGUGGUAAAAUUGGCAUUUCUGACAGCUCUCAAUGUAAUCUGCAUAGCACUACAAGAUUGUUACAUUGAACAGAUGUGGCUUGGAGUUGUUGUUCUUUGUAAUUACCAUCAUUAAGUGAAAGCAUGUGUCAAUCAACUUUGUACUUUAAACACACCAAUCAUUUGCAAGAGUCUUGCAUCUGUAUUUCAAAUAUAAAUAUAAAAUAUUCUGUUGGUUUUAAUUUUAAUGUGAUAUUGUAUUAAACAUACAAAUACUCAAAAGAAUGCUACAGUAACAAAUCAACAGGUUCAAUAAAAGGCCUUAUUUUGGGGUCAUUUGAUCAUUAUUAUUAUUGUUGUUAUAUAGACAUGUCCUCCCUUUGCUGCGGUAGAAGUGGGUAUUUGCAUCUAAUUUUAACUGCUUAUAUUUACUCUCUGCUACAUAUCCUCAAAUUUACGAUGUUUCUCCAACUAUAGAAUUUGACUGCUCUUUUUUUUUUCAGGGUCCUCCGUGUGUCUCUCACCCAAUAUCUUCUAGAUUUUUUUUUUCAAAGUCUGAUUGGGGCGGGGGAGGGAGAAGUAGUAGUAUCAGUAGAUUAAGAUACUGUCUUUUGGGCACUAAUGUCUAAUUCAUUACCAUUGCUCAGUUCCCUCUUUCAGCUUUUUAGUGCGAUCUUUUUCCCACUGAACUCAAUAGGAAAGCCUUGUUUGUAAGCUGGAUCAAGGCAUGAACCUACAAUUUGAGUGGCUGAAAGCAAACAUAUCUCUUAUCAUGAUGACACAACAAAUGACAUUAAAGGUUUGACUUAAAACUCCUUUGCUUUUGUGAGUUUGAUUUUUCUCUUGUCCUUUGCCCUUACCACAUUCUACCUACUAUAUGUAUGGCAAGGGCCUGAGGUCAGUACAUAAUGGUAUCCACCAUGAGCCUUAUCCUGUGCUGAGCAACUUCAGCUCAGGACCAAGCACGAUCAAGUUGUGCAUGAGCAACCAUACUUAGCUUAACAUGAGG